CCUACGGGAGGCAGCAGUGAGGAAUAUUGGUCAAUGGACGAGAGUCUGAACCAGCCAAGUAGCGUGAAGGAUGACUGCCCUAUGGGUUGUAAACUUCUUUUAUAUAGGAAUAAAAUGUGGCACGUGUGUCUUUUUGUAUGUACUUUAUGAAUAAGGAUCGGCUAACUCCGUGCCAGCAGCCGCGGUAAUACGGAGGAUCCGAGCGUUAUCCGGAUUUAUUGGGUUUAAAGGGAGCGUAGAUGGGUUGUUAAGUCAGUUGUGAAAGUUUGCGGCUCAACCGUAAAAUUGCAAUUGAUACUGGCAGUCUUGAGUACAGUAGAGGUAGGCGGAAUUCGUGGUGUAGCGGUGAAAUGCUUAGAUAUCACGAAGAACCCCGAUUGCGAAGGCGGCUUACUGAACUGUGACUGACAUUGAUGCUCGAAAGUGUGGGUAUCAAACAGGAUUAGAUACCCCUGUAGUC
rnacentral:rRNA from 1 species